rnacentral:rRNA from 1 species
UCCUGAAGGAACGUUAAAGACGAUGACGUUGAUAGGCCGGGUGUGUAAGCGCAGCGAUGCGUUGAGCUAACCGGUACUAAUGAACCGUGAGGCUUAACCUU